rnacentral:rRNA from 1 species
AGUGAACGCUGGCGGUAGGCCUAACACAUGCAAGUCGAGCGGCAGCACAGUAAGAGCUUGCUCUUACGGGUGGCGAGUGGCGGACGGGUGAGGAAUACAUCGGAAUCUACUUUUUCGUGGGGGAUAACGUAGGGAAACUUACGCUAAUACCGCAUACGACCUACGGGUGAAAGCAGGGGAUCUUCGGACCUUGCGCGAUUGAAUGAGCCGGUGUCGGAUUAGCUAGUUGGCGGGGUAAAGGCCCACCAAGGCGACGAUCCGUAGCUGGUCUGAGAGAAUGAUCAGCAACACGGGACUGGAGGCCGUGGCCAGGCGGUGAGGGAGGGCGGAAGGGGGAAUAUUGGACAAUGGGCGCAAGCCUGAUCCAGCCAUACCGCGUGGGUGAAGAAGGCCUUCGGGUUGUAAAGCCCUUUUGUUGGGAAAGAAAAGCAGCAGGUUAAUACCCCGCUGUUCUGACGGUACCCAAAGAAUAAGCACCGGCUAACUUCGU